CAGGCUGACCGGAUGAUCGCGGUGGAGAUAUCCAUCGAGGAAAGUCCGCACUCCACAGGGCAAGGUGCCGGGUAAUUCCCGGGGCGGGGCCACCCGCACGAAAUUUGUGCGGGCAACCUGACGGAUCGGGCCACAGAAACAGACCGCAACCCCCUUCCAACCUCCCCUGAUUCCUUCGGAAUUAGGGGAUGGGUUAGAGGGAGAUGUAAGGGUGAAAAGGUGGCGUAAGAGACCACCGGCGCAGGCGGUAACGUCUGCGGCUAGGUAACCCCCACCUGGAGCAAGGUCAAGCAGAGCUGAUCCCUAUGGGAGGUGGCGGCUCGUCGCCUGGACCGUAAGGUCCGCAGGCUCGGGUAGACUGCAUGAGGUGUGAGGUAACUCACGCCCUAGAGAGAUGGUCAUCGCUGCAGGGAGACCUGCAUGCACAGAAUGCGGCUUACAGGCUGGCCUGGGGA
rnacentral:RNase_P_RNA from 1 species